rnacentral:lncRNA from 1 species
GGCUGGGCUGUGGGUUGGCUGGUUCUUUUUUAGUUUAUUUAUUUAUUUUUAAACCCCUUUGCUAUAUUGGCGUUGGGGAGUCUGGGUUUGAGGAUGUAGGUGGUAACUAAGCGUCAUCCAUGAGUAUCAGACAGUGGGAAGAAUGGAAUAUGCAUUAAUUUAAAAUGUUACACAUUUCAUUAAAAAAUGUGCUCCUUCCCAGUUCUCGUCUCAACUCUGCAGCUUGGGGACCCAGCACACCCCACAGGAAAUAGGGCAAGUCAACACGUCUUUAGUGUCAGCAGUUGCGUGGCUAAUUCGGUAGACAAGCACCAGUCGUCGUGGGCUGGAACACUCCGAACCGUCCUUGGGGCAGGGGUAUUUAAGUCUGCUGGGCUCGCCCUCGGAUGUGGGCCGACCUCUCCAGGAAGGGGACAAGGGUGCAUUUCCCACAAAAGGCGCACUGACAACCCUUUUUCCCAGUGGUGCUGGGGGAGAGAUAUUGCGGCGGCACCCAUGUUAGAGUGCAGCAAGGGACGGCAGCCCGGGAGGCCCCGGUUGUGCAAAAGGAAGGUAAAAGCCCAGGCCUGAGCAAUGAGGACGUGACUGGGAGAUUUCCAGCCAGGGAGACUUUUCCAUCGUGGUGGAUAUCCUUACCCUUGGUGGUUGCUAAAGAAGCAGAUACCUCGCUACCCCUAUGAGCGUCCUCUGUUGUCCUCAGGCGGUUUGACAGUCACCUGCGUGGUUGAUUGGGACAGCUGCACGGCCCUUCGCCUUUCCCAAUGAGCACAGAGAAGGAGCCCCUGGGAAGCUGAGGGGCAGGGUUGGGUUCCUGGGUGUGAAGAUGCGGAGGUGACUGUCCCAUGAAUAUGCCUUGUUGAGUUAGAACAGUGGCGCUAAGGCAGAAUCAUGCCACCAUGAGGCUGAAGUACACCUAGAAGAGGGUGAUGCGUGCGCGUUCAUAUCCCGGGGGUCUACAGAUUGAAGCGCCAGACGAUCAGCUGGAAGUGAGAAAUAUCUGUGAAGCUCUGUGUUUUAUCUUAAUGGAUUUUUGCAUUCUACUCUAUAAUUAGUUGAAGUAUUUUAAAACUUCAGGUCUUAAAAUGGACCCUCAAGAAAAAUGUAUCAUUUUUGUCCUGUGGAUCUGGAUGCCGCCUACCACAGUAUUUUGAACUGAUGGCACUCGACUCCCUGGUGGAUUGUGAAAUCAGCUUAAAACGACUGCAAUCGAUACGGGAACGUGGUUGGGAGAAACUGGCUCGCUUCUGAAUUCAAAGACAAAACGUGAUUGGUUCAGGUAAUUACCGUCAUCCCUGAGUGA